GACGAACGCUGGCGGCGUGCUUAACACAUGCAAGUCGAACGGAAAGGCCCUGCUUUUGUGGGGUGCUCGAGUGGCGAACGGGUGAGUAACACGUGAGUAACCUGCCCUUGACUUUGGGAUAACUUCAGGAAACUGGGGCUAAUACCGGAUAGGAGCUCCUGCUGCAUGGUGGGGGUUGGAAAGUUUCGGCGGUUGGGGAUGGACUCGCGGCUUAUCAGCUUGUUGGUGGGGUAGUGGCUUACCAAGGCUUUGACGGGUAGCCGGCCUGAGAGGGUGACCGGCCACAUGGGGACGGAGAUACGGCCCAGACUCCUACGGGAGGAAGCAGUGGGGAAUAUUGCACAAUGGGCGGAGGCCUGAUGCAGCAACGCCGGGUGCGGGAUGACGGCCUUCGGGUGGUAAACCGCUUUCGCCUGGAACGAAGCGUGAGUGACGGUAAUGGGAAAAGAAGCACCGGCUAACUACGU
rnacentral:rRNA from 1 species